AACGAACGCUGGCGGCAUGCCUAACACAUGCAAGUCGAACGAGACCUUCGGGCCUAGUGGCGCAUGGGUGCGUAACGCGUGGGAACCUGCCCUUAGGUUUGGAAUAACUCCCCGAAAGGGGUGCUAAUACCGGAUAUUGUCUUCGGACCAAAGGUUUAUCGCCUUUGGAUGGGCCUGCGUUGGAUUAGCUGGUUGUUAGGGUAAAAGCCUACCAAGGCGACGAUCCAUAGCUGGGUAGAGAGGAUGGUCAGCCACACUGGGAGGAAGACACGGUCCAGACUCCUACGGGAGGGGGGAGAGGGUGAUAUUGCAAAGUGGGCGGAGGCCUGAACCAGCAAUGCCGGGUAAGUGAUGAAAGCCUGAGGGUUGUAAAGCUCUUUUACCCGGGAUGGUAAUGACGGUACCGGGAGAAUAAGCUCCGGCUAACUCCGUG
rnacentral:rRNA from 1 species